rnacentral:rRNA from 1 species
UACGAAGGGAGCUAGCGUUGUUCGGAAUCACUGGGCGUAAAGCGCACGUAGGCGGAUGUGUCAGUCAGGGGUGAAAUCCCGGAGCUCAACUUCGGAACUGCCUUUGAUACAGCACGUCUUGAGUCCGAUAGAGGUGGGUGGAAUUCCUAGUGUAGAGGUGAAAUUCGUAGAUAUUAGGAAGAACACCGGUGGCGAAGGCGGCGAUCUGGGUCGAUACUGACGCUGAGGUGCGAAAGCGUGGGGAGCAAACAGG